rnacentral:lncRNA from 10 species
UGACUUGGCUCAUUAACCAUGUGAUGACAACUGAAGUCACAGAUGACUGUGGCUUGAAGCAGGAUAAAACUGGCAACAUACAGCAUGAAAGAAGAGAGCGCCUUAAUCUCCAUGGCAAUGCCUUCAUUCCAUAGAAACAACAAAACUGGUUUAAAGAAAAAAAGGCAUUGGUGAGGAUCUGAGAAUAGUCCAGAACUAUUUACUGAAGAAUUCAUGGCCAACUCUUGGAAUCCAGUAACAUAAUUUAGCCCUGCCCUAUCCAAUAUCGUAGCCACCAGUCAUAUGUGGGGAUUGCACCCUUGAAAUGUGUUGAGUGUGAAUAGGGAUGUACUGUAAAUGUAAAAUACACACUGGACACUGAAGACUCAGUAUGGAAAAACAUGUAAAAUAUCUCUUCAAUAAUUACUUAUACUUACUACAUGUUGUAAUGAUAAUAUUUUGAGUAUAUUAGAUUAAAAUGUUAUUAAAAUUAAUUUCAUCUCAUUCACUUUACUUCUUUAUGAGGCUAUUUGGGAACUACUUGAAAAGAAAACUGGCCAAGAUAAAUGGA